rnacentral:tRNA from 1 species
GAAUUCGUGGUGUAGUUGUCAGCACGCUCGGCUCGCAUUCGAGAGGUCCGAGUUUCGAGUUCCGGCGAAGCCA